GUGGGGAAUCUUAGACAAUGGGGGCAACCCUGAUCUAGCCAUGCCGCGUGAGUGAUGAAGGCCUUAGGGUCGUAAAGCUCUUUCGCCGGGGAAGAUAAUGACGGUACCCGGUAAAGAAACCCCGGCUAACUCCGUGCCAGCAGCCGCGGUAAUACGGAGGGGGUUAGCGUUGUUCGGAAUUACUGGGCGUAAAGCGCGCGUAGGCGGAUCGGAAAGUUGGGGGUGAAAUCCCGGGGCUCAACCCCGGAAUUGCCUUCAAAACUCCCGGUCUUGAGGUCGAGAGAGGUGAGUGGAAUUCCGAGUGUAGAGGUGAAAUUCGUAGAUAUUCGGAGGAACACCAGUGGCGAAGGCGGCUCACUGGCUCGAUACUGACGCUGAGGUGCGAAAGCGUGGGGAGCAAACAGGAUUAGAUACCCCGGUAGUCC
rnacentral:rRNA from 1 species